UGGCAUGGAAUCUGCUCUUCAGAAGGCUGAGGAUAUUGCAGUUUCUAUGUUAGCCAAAGGGUUUGUUCUCGGCAUGGACAGUUGAAAAAGCAAAGGCUUUCGAUGAAAAGCAUCAGCUCACAUCAACUGCAACUGCCAAAGUCGCUUCCCUUGACAGGACAAUGGGCUUAAGCCAGAAGUUCAGCACCGGGACCUUAGUGGUGAAUGAGAAAAUGAAGGAGAUGGAUGAAAAGUACCAGGUUGCAGAGAAGACCAAGUCAGCAUUAGCUGCAGCCGAACAGACUGUCUCUACUGCUAGUUCUGUCAUCAUGAGUAACAGGUAUGUCCUUACAGGUGCAGCAUGGGUAACUGAUGCCUACAACAAGGUUGCAACCACUACAACUGAUGCUAGCAAGUCGAUAAAGGAAAGGAUGAUGGCUGAGCAGGAGGGAGCCAAUCAGAGCGGUGAAACCACAAAAGUUGAUUUGCUUGAAAUCUCUGAAGCGGAUGAGAAAGAGUGGAAGCGCCAUAAAGAUGACUCUACAAAGAACGUCGUUCAAGAAAGUCCUGAAAUGACUUGUCAGGAGAGUGAGCAUCAGGCGGGUGAACGUCAAAUGACUAAUGUAGCAGGUAACUCGAAAACGGGUAUAGAGGAGCAGAAAAAUCACGAGGGUGAAAUAGCAGUAGUAUCCCACAUGCAAGAAAACAUAGAUACAGCUGAGAAGGAUCCUAGCUGCCACGAGAGUGAAGUAUCCAAGGCCAAUGUCCAUGAUAGCGUUCUAAUGACAAAGCAAAGUGAGCGAGAGCAUAAUCAACCCGAAGGUGAAUUUGCAAACACUCAUGUCCCAGGAAGCCCUGUCACUAUUCUGGUCACCGUGUCCACUAUUGACAGGAACUCUAGCAACGGUCCCAAGAAGCCUGAUUCUGCUGAGGGUUUUCUAUGAUAUGUUAUUGUAAAUCUAGAUUGGGGGUGAUGAUGAUAGUUCAUUUCAGCUCUUUCUAUUGGAUCUGUCAUCCUUCUUGCUUAAUUGUUCACAGGCAAUGAUAGUUUUAUUCAGCUCUUCAGCUAAAUUUUUCACCCUUUAGUGUUGCUUUCGGGCAGUAGUUUAUUCAGCUCUUGUUGUUGAUUUUGAUAUCCUUCAAUGUCGUUUCUGAGCAUAAUAGAGGCUACAAAGUCGUAGUAGCAACAUUUUAUUGUUCUUUGAAUAUUAUUUCCAUGAAGCUACAACUUGAGUUGUCUUCUAUAUUUCUUGAUUGUUUUACCAUCUGUGCUGGAAGUAUCAUCUUAGUUAUUUUUUCAACUUUGCUCCUGUCUUGUUUAGGGAAAAGAAGAAUGGGAGGGUGAAGCACCGAUCAGACAACUAUAGUCUAGAGGGGUGUGUGAAUGUGAGCUGAUUCAAAAUUUUCCGAUGAGAAAUCAGCCUACUGCACAUUAAACAACUAUUUACUUUGAAGGCACUUUUUAUGUUUGUCCAAGUUCAGAAUUUCCAACUCGCCUUGAUCCUACGUAGAACACACUCCGCCCAUAACAAUUAAACUAACUCAUCAACAGGAGGGAUAAGAGGUUUGGCCAAAGAUCAAAUCGUCAGCACGUAAUCUUUAAGCAAUAAAUCCCUAGAACCCUAAUCUCAAUCAAAGAGUAAAGAGCGAGAAGGACAGGGGGGUGAGCAGAACACCUUGAAUCGCCGAGGAUGAGAUUUCCACAUCGGGGUACAGCAGGUCCCCGGCCUUCCAUGGAGAGCAGCGUGGAUCUCGCACAGGAGUUCGCGACCUCGAUAGGAAAGCAGCUCGGUGGGGGAGUGAAUCACGGGGUAGAGCAAGUCCCUGUCCUUCCUUGGAGAGCAGUGUAAAUCCCUAGAACCCUAAUCUCAAUCAAAGAGUAAAGAGCGAGAAGGACAGGGGGUGAGCAGAACACCUUGAAUCGCCGAGGAUGACAGGGGGUGAGCAGCACCACGGGCUUGGAGAGCUUGGAGAGCGGACGCGCGGUGGCGGACGCCGCGGUCACAACGGUGAUGGGCGGGCAGAGCAGGACGAAGGCCGUAGCGGCGGCGACGACCGCGGUGAGGAGGAGCAGGAGGCGGGAGGCGGUGGAGGGCUGGGGUGCGGCCACGGAGGGGGAGAGGAGAGCGGCGGUGGGCCGCGGCGAGUCGCCGGGGGUCCGUACCUCGACUGAGUGGGGCGGAGACGCCAUCGGCGGGAGAUGCUUUGGGGCGUUGCAGGCUGUCCAGCGGGAGAGAAGAUGGGGCGGUGGAGCCUGACAAACGGCGGUGGCGCAGGGCACUGGAGGCCGCGGCCGCGGGUGGAGGCGAGCAAGCCACGGGCGGGGGCGCAGGGCUAGAUGCCGCGACCGCGGAUUAGGGUUCCAUGGGAGAUGGGCCUCAGACAAAUUGGUAGAUGGGCCUCACACGGCGCAUGUGUCUGUCUUCAUUUUUUUGCAAGGUAAAAUUAGUACCACAUUGCCCAUCGGUUGGUGUUGAAACCUGCCUAUAUGUCUUCCUGUGUAGGUAGUAGUACGAUUGUUAUCACAUGGCGCAUGUGUCUUCCGGUGUGCGUGACAUGUGUAGUAGUACUAUUUUUUGUAAAAAAUGCGUUAUGGGCUAAACCGAGAGCAUGCACGCAGGAGCAAGCGGGCCCUACCUGUCAGAGACCAAACGGCAGAACAUAAAAAGGCAGGCUACUAUUGCUAACUUAAUAAGUAGUAGAGAUUUGACCGAAAAUGAUUUCGUACGAUUAGAAAACGCAGCAUCCUGUAACACCACAAUUAGCUCUGUUCAUGAAUAAAGAAAGGAUGCGUAGUUGCGGGCUUUAGAGAAGUCAUGGGGAAAAAAGAGGACAAGAUUUUUCUGUGGACAAAGGGGCAAAGAUGGAACUGACAAUCCGCAAUGCAAGUCCCAAGGCAAAGAAAAGGAAUCGCUCUAGUUUUCCGUUUGCAAACCCCAGAAGGCAGAACAAGCAAGAAGACGACCAGAGAGCUAAGAGAGUAUCAAUUGGUUUUGCGCGCAGCUGCGCUGACCAACCUGCAAUGGUGUCCUGGUGCUCGGUGAGGAUGCGAUGCAUCUCAACAAGCUGCUCGCAGAUGGUGGCAUAGAUGGAGAUCUGCUUGCGGAGCACCUCCAUCUGUUCGUCGAUCAUGACCUUGACGUAUCCUCUGAGCUUCCGUGAGAGGCGUUUGGCAAGGUUGAGAUCUUGUAGAAUGGCACACCAGUCUCAUUAGCAAUGGUAUGUGCAAGGUGGUCUUUCCACAGUUAGGUGGGCCACGUGCGCGCAACCAAUCGACAAAGCUUGUGUAUUCCUGAGAGAUCCCAACAAACCAAUAAAGCAUGUGUCUAUAGAAACCAAUUUAAUAUGCACAUGUUGAAUGUCUAACAAUUCAACUGAAAAAUAAUCCCAUUGUAUUUCAUUCAUGACAUGCAUUUUGUACUGUUCAGCCAUCUCCCCAACACUAUGGCAAAUUACUACCUAAAUAAUAGCCUAUAAAAAUCAGGAAACCGAAUCUAGUUACGGAAAAAUUUGAAACCAAACAUAGAGCGUUCAGAGUUUAUGGUGAUGGUACUUAUACUAUAUAAUAGUGCGAGUGCAUCAUGCAAUAGAGCUGAAAUAAAAUCUGCAUAGUACUUUGAUAUUUCAAUGUAAAAAAAGGAUAUACCUCUUUCACUUGCUUUCCAACGCACAAGUUGAGAUUUGCUCUAGCUAGUUGCCGCGCUUCCGGUACUGGUAGAAGCAGGCGCUUUUGGCGCAUUAUUUGUCACAAAAAAGAACACAAUGAAUUCCUUAGAUUAAGUCUUUAUCCCACCUUUUAGAUGUAAGGUCAAUGAGAUCAACGACCUUGUUGAGUAAUCCUCUAGAUAUGGUAGUUUAAAGAAUUUAAAACAUGUAUUUAUCGAAACUGCCGAUUGAUUCUUGUCGUCCAACUUUUUUUAAGGCGACCAUGGCAGGCACAGGCACGGUAAAGAUCCACAACGUCUCACUUAAAGCAUCAGAGCAAGAUAUUAGUGAGUUCUUCUCAUUUUCUGGUGAGAUUGUGCAUGUAGAAUUGAAAAGGUUAGUGCCAAUAUCAUCUCCAUGAUAUAUUUCGGUAGCAUAAGCGCAUGCAUGAUUUGACCUAGAAUGCUUUUGCAGUUGUGAUGAGCGGUCGCAAUCUGCCUACAUCACGUUUAGAGAUAAUCAAGGAGCAGAGAGGGCUAUGCUUCUUACGGUAUAGGUUUUUGCGUUGGUUUCUACGGUCUACUACAAAUUAUUUAUGACGAUGAUCAUCUUCAUACACUUUGCCAAUGAAAUAAGGGCGUGCAAAUUUAGUAUUAUAUCCACUGAUUUUGUUGAAUGAGAGAUGGUUACUACUACUACUUCUCUUUUUCUAGAUUUGAGAGUCCUGAACUUAAUAUGAAUAUGCAGUUUGCAUACAUGGUUUCUUCCAUGAAACUGUCGUGUAUGAUGUGUUCUUGUUAUUGGUCUUUAACUACUAUAUUUUCCAUCUCAUUUGAUUUUCUUGUCUUUUACCUAACUAUGUGUUAAAGGUAACCUUUCUACACUUAUGAAUUCUAUUACGUAAAUCCGUGCUUUAAUGCAGGGAGCGACUAUAGAAGAUAUGGCUGUCAUCAUCACACCAGCCACUGAUUACAAGCUACCAGCGUUUGUUUUAGCUGAUCUAGAGGUAGAACCAUGUUACAUUCAAAUCCCCCAUUAGCAAAAUUUCUUUUAACAAGCUCAGACUCCUAAUGCCACCAACUGCAUUAUCAGUCAAAAAACACUGGUGGCAUGGAAUCUGCUCUUCAGAAGGCUGAGGAUAUUGCAGUUUCUAUGUUAGCCAAAGGGUUUGUUCUCGGCAUGGACACAGUUGAAAAAGCAAAGGCUUUCGAUGAAAAGCAUCAGCUCACAUCAACUGCAACUGCCAAAGUCGCUUCCCUUGACAGGACAAUGGGCUUAAGCCAGAAGUUCAGCACCGGGACCUUAGUGGUGAAUGAGAAAAUGAAGGAGAUGGAUG
rnacentral:lncRNA from 1 species